ACAGAGGUGGCAAGCGUUGUUCGGAAUUACUGGGCGUAAAGGGCGCGUAGGCGGUUUGUCAAGUCCCGUGUGAAAGUCCUCGGCUCAACCGAGGAACGGCGCGGGAAACUAGCAGGCUUGAGUUCGGGAGAGGGAAGCGGAAUUCCGGGUGUAGGGGUGAAAUGCGCAGAUAUCGGGAGGACCACCUGUGGCGAAGGCGGCUUACUGGAACGCCACUGACGCUGAGGCACGAAAGCUAGGGGAGCAAACGG
rnacentral:rRNA from 1 species